UGCGGCCCGGCCCCUCCUUGGCCAGGGCAGACGCCUCUGGAGCGGCGGGGCGCCGGGGCCACCGGGCCACGCUGAUUGGCCCAAAGUUGGCGGUGGUGUCUGGGAGCCCCAAACCUCGGUCCCCCACCCCGAACCUCCCACCCUGAGGAUGAGCCUGUGUCCACACCAGCCCUCCACAAAAUCUCUGCCUUUGGCAGAAGUUUCUGGAGUCUCCUCAAACGCAGAACGAAAUGGGCCUUGGCAUCUCCAAAACAGUCUUCUGCUGACCACAACUGAGACCAACCCUGAAGGUGUACCUUGAUACCUGUUGUUCUACCUUUUGUGGGGAUAAAGCAGUUACCAAUUUUUGCCUACAGAUUGGACAAGGAUGUUGUACCCAUGAACUCUCAACAUCACGGAUGCCUGCACAACAUGUACAAAAACCAUACUAGUCAACUCAUCACAAGGACCCAACGCUAAAUGAAGAACCACAGGAGCAUCUAUGGCUAGCCUGUCAGUCAAUCAGAUGGCAACCUCGCUCCAAGAAAAUCAUACCAUAGAACUGUAGCAACAAAUACCUACAGCCCAGAUAACUGAUGCAAAGAGUAAAGAAAUAAACAAAAAAAUCACAACACCCAACAUACAUAGCCAACACACUAGUGCAAGUCAAUAUACACAAUAAAAGUCUCUGUAGGAAAAAAAAAAAAAAGAAGUGCUAUCCUAAAUGCACAGAUAUCAAUGCAGGUGCACAAGAAACAUAAAAUAUCAAGGAGUCAGGAAAACCAUUAAUUCUGCCAUCACAAAAUAAAUGAAUAAAUAAUCCCAAAGAGAAAAUUUACAAACCCUGGGGAGGAGGAGAGAAAGCCUGUGACAUCUGUGGGCAAUCAUUUGGUGACCAAAUAUUUACAUUACCAAAAUUCCACAGAAGAUCUGAAGAAAGAAACAGAAAACACAUUUAGUGAAAUAACAGAAAACCUACCAAGUCUUGAGAGAAAGAUGGGCAUCCAGACCCAUGACAAUCACAGAAUAUUAAUUAGAUUCAAAUGGAGGAGGUCCUCUCCAAACUCAAGAGAGAAAAUUCUAAAAUCAAUAGGCAAAAAAGGUACCAACUCACACAUUAAGUGGAGUCAUUGGUGUUUUCAAGCUGACAGGAUCUGGAAUCACAUCGGGGCUGGACCUCCAAGCAAACCUGUGUGUGAUUAUUUCGCCUCUGGUAAUGCCUGUGAAGAUUAUUUUCAGUAGACCCAUCAUAGCAGGUGCUCUGACCUUGAGUCCUGGACUUCACAGAAAGAAGGGGAACUGAGCACAAGCAUUUCUCACCCUGUUCCUAAAUGUGGGUGCAAUGAGACCAGGCACAUUUUAGUUCCUGUCACUUUCACUUCCCCACCAUGACCAACUACAUACUGCAUCUGUGUGUAGAAUAAACCCUUUCUCUCUUAAGUUGCUUUUGUCAACUUAUUACAGCAACAGGAAAGGCACCUAGACACUAGGGAAUAACCAGUAGACCCAGGUAGAUUUCUUAGAAGAGACUGUUCCAGAAGAGAAUGAAAUACCUUGGGUGUUGAAAGAUCUUGGGCCAGCACAGUUACUCUCUGGACAUGAAGGAGAAAUCUUUUUGCUCAGGCAAGGGAAUCUAAGAAACUCACUUCCAGCAGGUCAGCAAUAAGAGGAUAUCUAAGGGAAUGCUAAAUCGAGAUAUAACAGGAUGGUAAUUGUCAUUGUGAAUGUGUGGAAUGCAUGCUAAAAGAGACACACAAAGGAAAGAAAUUAAAACAGAAAACACCAGGCUAUACACAGACAGUGAAAGAGCAAGAACAACAAAGGUUAUUUGACAAUUAUUAAUUCAAUGACAAGGGUAGGCCACUACAAUCAGUAAUAGUCUAAAAUGUUAAGUGGAUUAAGUUCUCAAGUGAAAUGUGUAGGUUGACUACCAAGCAUAGUGGUGGUACAUGCCUAAAAUCUCAGUUCUUAUGAGGAAGACACAAAAAGACUGAAAUCUGAGGUAAUCUAGUCUUCAUAAUGAGUUUAAGGUCAGCCUGGUAUGUGCACCAACAUCUUAUCUCUAAAAUACAAAUAUAUAAAUAAAAUGAAAUAUACAGAUUAUCCAAAGGGAUAAAACUAAAAAGCAAGAGGAAGCAUACCCCAACUGUAGGGAACCUAUACAUGAAAUUCAAUUUUAUUCUGUGGUGAUUUGAAUAGGUAUGCCCCCAUAGAGCUUAUGUGUUUGGAUGCUCAGCCAUAGGGAAUGGCAUUAUUAGGACGUGUGGCCUUGUUUAAGGUAGUGUGUCACUGUAGGGGCAAGCUUUGAGGUCUCAUAUAUGCUAAAGCUACACCCAAUGUGACACACAGUCUGCUUCUGCUGAUUGCGGAUCAAGAUGUAGAACUUCUUUCAACUCCAUCUCCUGCACCAUGUCUGUCUGCACCACCAUGUCCAGCCAUGAUGAUAAUGGACUGAACCUCUGAACUGUAAGCCACCCACAAUUAAAUAUUUUCCUUUACAAGAGUUGCUGAGGUCAAGGUGUCUCUUCACAGUAAUAGAAACCCAAGGACAAAUACUAAGGACAAGCUGACUGAAAGUGAAGGGACAGAAAACAAGCCCCACACUAACAGAAACACAGAGGAGUGGGAAAAGCUUGUAUCCAGGAUGACACACCCCAAAGAAACAGUAUUAAAACUGUAAUACAGACAAGGUUAUUACUAACAAACAAGAGGACAUACCAACUGUAUACCCAUAUACACCCAAAAAGAGGGACAGAAAAGGUAGGCUGAAAAGGGAAAUCAAGUUCCCUGAGACCAUACUUAUUGCUCCUAGAAGAGAUUUUGAGAAGACAUGGCAAGCAAGUAUGGAGGUGAUUUACUCAACAAGACCAAUAGAAGACAGGGAAGGACCCAGGGGCCAAAUACGCAAUGCAACCCAGAGUUGACUUAACAGACUCUCAACCUUGAGGACUCCCAUCUGAGAACACUGUCCAGUGCUGAAGCAUGCGCAUCCUUUUUGUUGACUCAACUGAAAUGUUCUUCAAGACAGACCAUGCUUUCAUGCAUGAAACAAGGUCCCAACACGUUAAAAAUAAAAUCUACAAUGGAAAUUAUAAAACAAAGGCAAAGGGAACCGUGGAAAUUUUAUAGUUACUUGGAAUUACGCAUCAUAACGCAAAUUAGGUGUCACUUCACUCAAUUAUAAUAGUAAUUAUCAGAAAAACUUACAGAUGACAAAGUACAUGCCUUUCUUUAAUCUGAGUAUUUGAGAGACAGGGUAAAGUUCUCCAGGAGGUCAAGGCCAGCUGGGCUACAUAGUGAGACACAGUCUAAAAGCAAAGACUGAGUAAGAAUAACAAGUAGAGGGUUGGUGAUGGCUAAUGGAGUGAAAGUACAAACCUGCUGACCUGAGUUUGAUCUCCAGAAUCCAAUGGAAUAGUGGAAUGAUGACUAACUCUGCUGCGCAGCCUGUGUCCGAGAAUGUGCAGAGGGUGUCGGGAUUGAUGACACAGAGACCAGUCGGUGGUGCAAAGAAAACUUCAAGAAGGCUUUUCCGAAGGCUCCUCAAGAUGGCUUCACUUUUCUUACCUUGGCUGGUUAUUAUUUGCCCUGACCCCAGAGGAGGCAGUGGAUGGGUCUUUGGAAAAGGUCAAGGUCAGUGUGUUCCCGUGGGCAAGCCCUUAUCAGAAACUUAUUGCUCCCCGGUACCAUAUUGUUUUUAGUAAACAUUGUCUUACAGCUGCCUGCUCCCAGGCUGAUGGGCCAGUGGGCCUCCGACCAAGGUCUGUUGUUCCCUCAUAACUCCACAAAGUCUUCUCUGACAACCACAUAUGUGCAGUAUCAUGCACCCCUAUGCACGCACACACACACACACACACACACACACAUGCACAUGUAUGCAAACACACAAAAAGUAAUAUUGGCAAUAAUUUUUUUAAAUGGCUAGUGCUGGCAAAGACAUAAAGAAAGGAAUCUGUACAUACUAUUGACUAGGAUACAAAUUAGUACAACCAUUAUAGAAAACAGGUUGUUUUUUCCACAGUACAAGAAUUAGAAUUACCACAUGAUUUGGCAAUUCCACUGUGUGUACCCAAAGAACCCGAACUCAGUAUGGUAAAACAAACAACUUCCUCCCAGAUGAUAGCCAACAUGUGAAAGUAAUCUAGGAAUCCACUGAUAGAUGGAUACAGAAAAUAUAUGAAAUAUUUAACAGUGGGAUACUAUUUAGUCAUAAAGGCACAAACUCCUGCCAUUUGCAGCAACAUGGAUGAGCUUGUAGAUUACAUUGAGUGAAAUGACAUCGACAUAGAAAGACAAACACUGUGUUUUCUCUCAUGACAUGGAUGAGGAAUAUACCAUGACAGUUACAAGGAAUGACAGAAGCAGUUAUAAAGGGAAGGUAGUUAAGAAGUAGUGUGCUAAACAAGACAAAUGAUGUAUAAACAACUGUGGUUGCUAUGAUAACUAGUAAAGCAUUGUGGUGGGCAAUGAUGAAUUGUAUAUUUCAAAAAUAGCAGGAUUUAAGUAUUUCCCCCCAGAUGGCAUUUUUUGUAGUAUAUAUACUUGCUACCCUGAUCAUCCAUGUACAUAAUAUGUAUCCACUGACAUUUUUCAAUUAAGAGAAAAAGAUGUAUAGCACAUAAGGCAAAUAUUGUUCAAUAAAGCUUCUAUCAUCCUGUGUGCCACUAAAAGUAAUAAGCAAUCCAUGUUCAGAUUCAUAAACUGCUUUAUUUAUUUAUUUACUUAUUUGCUUUUUUGAGACAGGGUUACAUGUAGCUCUGACUUGUCUCACUUUACACCAUGUCUCUGUGAAGUUAGUUUUAAUGUUCUAUCAAUUUAACACUUUGGAAUAUCUUGGUGCUUGCAUUCUUUAGCAAGUUCUGAAUGUAAAUGCUUUCCACACUAAAACAAGCAAAGUUAACUAUCCCUAACAGAACUAAAUACAUUUUCGUGUAAGACUUCUCUUUGGUCUGGUUCCUAGCAUAGAUAAAUGCACAAUAAUCAGUUACUACUUCAGAAUUCUGUCACAUGUAUGCUAACACUAGUAUCUAGGAAAGUGAUUAAAGUCCAUGUCAUAAGGUAGCUAUAGUGACUUUCAGAAAAGGAGCGGUUAGAGAUGAGAUAAUAUGAGGUGAUCUUGCAAGCUAUUUGGCUAAUUUAAUUUGGAAGCCUGUGUUCAGUAGUUUACACACACACCCUUUCCUCUAACUACCUCCUUUCCUAUUUUCUGCCAGCCUCCCAGAGCUCUAGUGUUAUCAUAUGCUGCAAGAAAUAUUUUAUGCAUGAAAUUACAGUGCUCUUUAAGGCUCACUCAGUGGGGGAAUGUGGAAGUUGGUAAUUCCGCAGCUCUAUAUCUUUUCAUGGGAAAUGAAAACUGAUAUCUGAAAGUAGCAAUUUGCAAUAAAAUAUUAUUUUUCUUCUU